AAGUAGCAAUACUUUGGUGGCGACCGGCGCACGGGUGAGUAACGCGUAUGCAACCUCAUUUAUCAGAGGGGAAUAACCCGGCGAAAGUCGGACUAAUACCGCAUAAAACAGGGACACCGCAUGGUGAUAUUUGUUAAAGAAAUUCGCUGAUAGAUGGGCAUGCGUUCCAUUAGGUAGUUGGUGAGGUAACGGCUCACCAAGCCGACGAUGGAUAGGGGAACUGAGAGGUUGGUCCCCCACACUGGUACUGAGACACGGACCAGACUCCUACGGGAGGCAGCAGUGAGGAAUAUUGGUCAAUGGGCGAGAGCCUGAACCAGCCAAGUCGCGUGAAGGAAGAAGGAUCUAUGGUUCGUAAACUUCUUUUGCAGGGGAAUAAAGUGCAGGACGUGUCCUGUUUUGUAUGUACCCUGAGAAUAAGGAUCGGCUAACUCCGUGCCAGCAGCCGCGGUAAUACGGAGGAUCCGAGCGUUAUCCGGAUUUAUUGGGUUUAAAGGGUGCGUAGGUGGUUUGAUAAGUCAGCGGUGAAAGUUUGCAGCUUAACUGUAAAAAUGCCGUUGAAACUGUCGGACUUGAGUGUAAAUGAGGUAGGCGGAAUGCGUGGUGUAGCGGUGAAAUGCUUAGAUAUCACGAAGAACUCCGAUUG
rnacentral:rRNA from 1 species